rnacentral:rRNA from 1 species
UCGCCUACGGGUGGCUGCAGUGGGGAAUAUUGGACAAUGGGGGGAACCCUGAUCCAGCCAUGCCGCGUGUGUGAAGAAGGCCUUAUGGUUGUAAAGCACUUUAAGCGAGGAGGAGGCUCUUCUAGUUAAUACCUAGGAUGAGUGGACGUUACUCGCAGAAUAAGCACCGGCUAACUCUGUGCCAGCAGCCGCGGUAAUACAGAGGGUGCGAGCGUUAAUCGGAUUUACUGGGCGUAAAGCGUGCGUAGGCGGCUUUUUAAGUCGGAUGUGAAAUCCCCGAGCUUAACUUGGGAAUUGCAUUCGAUACUGGGAAGCUAGAGUAUGGGAGAGGAUGGUAGAAUUCCAGGUGUAGCGGUGAAAUGCGUAGAGAUCUGGAGGAAUACCGAUGGCGAAGGCAGCCAUCUGGCCUAAUACUGACGCUGAGGUACGAAAGCAUGGGGAGCAAACAGGAUUAGAUACCCUAGUAGUCGC